CUCGCUUGCAAACCGCUUGACUGGUAUUUGACUCACCAGGGCCAAAGUCGUUUAGAAAGAGCGUCGUCUGUUGGCAAAGAUCGACUUUCCACCCAAAGAAGGCGACUUUUUCUAUUAUUGAGGCAAAUACAGGAGUAAACGAGACAUCCAGAGGGAGGUGGGCGGGAACGCGCUAGACGUAGCUCGCAGAUCUCAUCGUGGCGUAGGCUUUAGAGGAUCACAGACGCUCAUGGGGCAGCAGGGACGGCCAGCCCUCCGUUCCCCCACCUUCCAGGACAUACCUCCUCCUCCAGCCUCUCCCUGUGCCCCCCAAACAAGCCCGUAACUACACACGUGCACUUUGCAAGAUCUGGUCUCAAUUUCUCAUUCUGUGUCUCCGUCUGUUUUUUUUUUUUUUUUAUUUUCAAAGUGCGACUUUGGAUUUAAAUUGGACCCUGCAGCACCUGUCAGCGGGUGCAUGCAGCUCUGCUUGGUUCCUCCUAGAAUCAUGGGAGACUCUCUCAGACAGGCCAUUAGGAGUUCUUGUGUCCCUGAGGUCGGUCGUGGGGCGCUGCGGCUGGCCCCAGCGAGAACUGCGGCCCCUCUGCUCCUGCUCUGCAAGUUUCUCUACCCGGAGGCUUGGGCUGUCGCUGAUGCACAGGUUGUCCCGUCUCCCAGGAGCCCAUGUGGACAAGGGAGAGUGCGCAGACUCCGCAGGGGCCUCCAUGCCUGCCAUGAAUUCCUCCCACUUCCUUCUUGGGAUGAGGUAUCCAAAAAGGCCUUUGGCCCUUUCUGGGAAUGGAAGAAAGAGUAAAGUGAGGCAACGAGGGAGGAGACCCCCUGGAGAAAGACCGAGGAAGACUGCCCAUGUGCCGCGUUGGUGGACAGGAUGCUCCAUCAGGACCUGUCCCCCAGGAGCCCUGGAUUUGGGAAGCAUCACCCUGGAGGCCCAGGGUCACUCAGGAAUCCUGCCUCUGGGGAGGUUUGUCCUGAAAUGCACGCUUGUUCUGGGGCCUGGUUCCAAGACUUGUGUACAAACGCGUGGUGGUGCAUCCCAGCGGCUGAGACAGCCGAGGAGGACUGGCGGACGGUUCCGUGACCUGCCGGGUGGAGCCUGUGGCCUGGCCGGGGACAGCCUCGUGGUGCAGCAUCCUACCCCGCACCUGCUUGGACACUCAGAACACCUGUCCCGUGUUUCCCUGGUGGAGGGGGGUGUUUCCAGGUCUUGACUCUUACCAGUAAAGCUGCUCUGAAUAUUCUUACACGAGUCUUUGGUGAGGGUGGAGGGUAUACGUUUUCAUUUGUCCCCGUUGCUGGGCCAGGCGAGCGCUUCCCUCCAAGAGAAGCUGCCAGAUAGAUGCUUGUCGGCCAGAGCAGUUACACUCACAUCCACAACUGGCCUCUGCUGUUGGGUCCCGGCCUGUGUGUGAGCUAUCGGUCGCCCCCGGUCCGUCCAUGCUGGGGCUGAGGCCCGAGGGGAUCUCCUGGCGUUGCCCAAAUGUAUUUGGUCACAUAAGAUCUUAUGAUUCCGGUGGAGGAAAUACGCUGGCCUGGGAAAUCCUGCUGGCGGAGAAGCCGAGGCUGAGACGCUGCUGCCCGGGAUUCUGAUCUAGACUUGCUGGAAGUCCUAUGGGCAGGCUGAUCGCCACCAACCUGGGGAGCUCUUGGAGCAGCUAGUCCAGUCCCCUUCUCCUGGGCAGGGGCGUCCAUUUCCCACCUCCCGGGGCUGCUCCUGCUGGCCUCAGUGUGGGGGUGACGGGCCUGUCUCUGCUAGCCAGCAGCCAUACAGUCAGGCCCCAAAGUCGAGGGGAGAUCCUGGAGGAACCCAUACCCUGACGGAUGUGAAACUCUCUCAAAGCCAAAAGGCACCCUCGCUGACACUCAGGCUCCAUGAGCGACAGCUGUGAGCAGCUCCAGACACCAAUGCUGCACGCUAUCAGCUGUCAUGGACUUUACAGCCUGUGUCCCCCCACCCCAGCAGCCCCCGAGGCGGCUGCUGGCCUUACCUGCAUCCACCUGGCCUCAACUCACUUGCUGCAGAGCGUCUGCCAGGACUUCGAUGCCUCUCUAGGACUCUGGUGGGGGCGACCGGGUGGGAAUUCCUUGGAUCACUUUUGUUUCAAAGAGAAGGUGUGGAUGCAGGAUCCAGGAUGGACAACGAGUAGGUGCAGGUGCGGGAUCCAGGAUGGGCAACGAGAAGGUGCGGGUGCAGGAUCCAGGAUGGCAACUACUGGCUUUGGUGCUCGUGUGCUUAUGAGCUUCCUUCUCUAAGCCAGACAGAAUCAAGACUUGACCUUACUUGGGAGCUCCAAACAUGGACCCUGCCAGAAACAGGGAGCCGGUUACUUACCGGGGACUCUCCCCAACCAGCCCUGGGCUCAUGGAAGACACUGUGCCUUCCCUCCCGUGGUCCACACUUCUUGCCAGAAGAACCCAAUUCUGCAUCUAUGUAGCAGGGAGAGAGCAUUCCAGCUCCCAGGAGGAAGCAUUUCCAUAUCCAUUUGGUCUGAACUAGUCACAGCAAUAACCUCUCCUUUCCUUUGCCACUGAGUGUUUCGGGGGGACCGGGAAUGGGACCCUUCAAGGCAUAAAAAAAAUAAAAAGAGAGAGAAAAGAAAAGAUCAUCUGGAGACUUCAUAGGCUUUCCCCUGUCCCUUCCUUCCAGUCUGAGAUGUUGGUGUCAUGCCCAGAGCUCUGGUAGCUAUUUUGUAACCAUGACUUGUAACCAUGACUUUUGUAACCUGGGCAGCCAGCACCAGGGUUCAAGGCUGUUGUGCUGGGAAUGGAAAUGGGAGGUCAGGACGCACCUGGUUGGGGCGUCCUUUGGCCGGGGCACAGGCUCUGACUGCGUCUUCUGUGACACCGCUAAGUGCAUCCCUGUUAGAGCACCUCUGAGAUGGGCUUUCUCACAUUUGCAGCCCAAACCACUUGUAGGAAAUAUCUACGGGAUUACAGCCUGAGUGGGCACUUCUUCUUUUUUUUUUUUUUUUUUAAAUAUUUUAUUUAUUUAUUCAUGAGAGACACACAGAGAGAGGCAGAGUCAUAGGCAGAGGGAGAAGCAGGCUCCCUGCGGGGAGCCCGACAAAGGACUCGAUCCCAGGACCCCGGGAUCACGCUCUGAGCCGAAGGCAGGCACUCCACCACUGAGUCACCCAGGUGCUCCAACCUGUUAUCUUAAAAUAAUGAGGAUUUAAACCGUCCCCACAGUGCCCCAAAGAGCAAGGAUGCACCCAGGGCACUGGAUAGUCUUUGGGCCUGGGGCAGGGGGGGCCAGAAUUUCCUGAAACGUGUUGAGUGCGCCAGCCUCUGUCAGCCUCCCACUGUGCUGGGCCCUGAAGCCCUGGCUUGUAGGUAUAUUUGGCAGGAGGUUGGGAACACAGGAGGGAAAGAGGGAGGGACAGGGGGGUAGGGAAGAUGGGGCUGGGAGGCUCCCUGCAGGCAGCCCAGGCUGGACACGGGUCCCCACGGCCCAGGCUGCUGAGCAGGGCCAUGUUUUCACUGCCCGUCUAAUGGGAGUGAGCCUUCCGGGGCUGAGGGAACGCUUAUGGGGAGCGGGGCCUUUAAACGUGUUGUUGUGUUUCAGGGGGGCCGGCUCCAGGCCCUGAAACUCCAGACGCUGUGAUUAUUACCCGCGAUUCUUGUUAACAGCCUUUCCGUUUUCCGUGGGCGUCUCGUUGGGCCACACUCCCAGCCGCGAUCCAGUCGUGUCAGCUCUGACGACGCCAGUGGACGCGGCCUCUUCUGGAGGUUUCACUGCUUCUCCCCUUUCUCGGCUUUCAGUGCUGCACAGGUGAGCGGGAGAAGGGGGGACGUGGUGCGGGGCAGGGAUACGGCCCAGAGCAGGGACGGGCCGGCGGGGACGCAAGCCACCGGGCCUGGAGGCCCCCCUGCCCAGCCCUGGAGCUUCGGCCAGGCCUCCGCGGUGGUGCAGACAGCCCAGGGCAGCCCGCACUCGCGGCUUCCACGGCUCAGCCCAGCCAGCAGCCAGCGCGGACGUCCCAGCCUGUAACCCGCCGCGUGCUUUACACACGGUAGGGUCACCAGACGCAGCAGAUGGAAGUUUGGGAUACACUUAUUCUAAGGUUAUUUGCAGUUCAUCUGAAAUCCAACUUUUUUAAAAAAGAUUUGUUUAUUAAUUCAUGAGAGACACAGAGACGGAGAGAGGCAGAGACACAGGCAGAGGGAGAAGCAGGCUCCAUGCAGGGAGCCCGAUGUGGGACUCGAUCCUGGAUCUGGAGAUCACGACCCGAGCCGAAGGCAACUGCCCAACCACUGAGCCACCCAGGCAUUCCUGAAAUCCAACUUUAAAAGGGCCAUUGGGAUGUAAUCCAACAGCGAUCACAAGGGCUUUAAAUCUGGGUUCUAUGACCUAACACCCCGGGACUCAGUUUCUCAGCCUGUAAAAUGGACAAGACGACACCCAGCUCUCAGCCAUCACGGUGAUAGGACAGGGGAUACGUGAGAAGCCCCUUGGCUGAGCCUGGGCUCCUGGCGUGAGCCUGCUGUCCAGGGGUUGGGGGGACGUGGCCGCCUGUCUCCACGGGCCCUGGGGAAGAACUGAGCUGGCCCAGGACAGCUUGUCACGAUCCUGGUGACAAAGGUGACCACUUAUAACCAGAAUUCCUGGCCAGGAAUUGGCACAUG
rnacentral:lncRNA from 1 species